rnacentral:lncRNA from 1 species
GCAGCUGCACACGCGUCCGGCCUCUAUGGGUAUCCACACGAAGUCCUUGUGCUAAUCGAUCUCUCUGAGAGUGCUAGCUCACGAAGACACCAUCCAUUGGCUAAUUUGAGAAGAACAUGAUAAAAUUAAAGAAUAAGGAGACCCUCUCCUUUUUCUUUCUAAAUCCAUGCAUCUGAUCUCUAUAAUAAAGAUCAAGAGAAGAACCCUUCCU